rnacentral:rRNA from 1 species
UACUUUCCGCCAGAGAACUACAAGUGAAAAACUUGAAACUCAAAGGACUUGACGGUGUCCCAUAUCGACCUAGAGGAGCCUGUCCUAUAAUCGAUACCCCCCGCUCCACCCAACCUCAACUAGCAAAAUAUCAGCCUAUAUACCGCCGUCGACAGUUUACCCUAUGAAGGCUCAAUAGUAAACACAAUAACCCUAUAACGNUAAUACGUCAGGUCAAGGUGUAGCAAAUGCUGAGGAAGAGAUUGGCUACAUUUUUUAUAAUAAAAAACACGAAUUGCACUAUGAAAUAAUGCAUGAAGGUGAAUUUAGUAGUAAAACAGAUAAGAAUGUCUGUUUUAACAACGCUCUGG